rnacentral:rRNA from 1 species
GACGAACGCUGGCGGCGUGCCUAAUACAUGCAAGUAGAACGCUGAAGGAGGAGCUUGCUCUUCUGGAUGAGUUGCGAACGGGUGAGUAACGCGUAGGUAACCUGCCUGGUAGUGGGGGAUAACUAUUGGAAACGAUAGCUAAUACCGCAUAAUAACAGUUGUUGCAUGACAACUGUUUGAAAGGUGCAAUUGCAUCACUACCAGAUGGACCUGCGUUGUAUUAGCUAGUUGGUGGGGUAACGGCUCACCAAGGCGACGAUACAUAGCCGACCUGAGAGGGUGAUCGGCCACACUGGGACUGAGACACGGCCCAGACUCCUACGGGAGGCAGCAGUAGGGAAUCUUCGGCAAUGGACGGAAGUCUGACCGAGCAACGCCGCGUGAGUGAAGAAGGUUUUCGGAUCGUAAAGCUCUGUUGUAAGAGAAGAACGAGUGUGAGAGUGGAAAGUUCACAAA